CCAUGCAGUCGAGCGCGAAUGGAGCAAUCCUAGUAGAGCGGCGCACGGGUGCGUAACACGUGGAUAAUCUGCCUGGGUGUCUGGGAUAACCAGUCGAAAGAUUGGCUAAUACCGGAUAAGCCCCCGGGAGCUUCGGCUCUUGAGGGAAAAGGUGGCCUCUGUAUACAAGCUAUCACAUCCAGAUGAGUCCGCGGCCCAUCAGCUAGUUGGCGGGGUAAUGGCCCACCAAGGCAACGACGGGUAGCUGGUCUGAGAGGACGAUCAGCCACACUGGAACUGAGACACGGUCCAGACUCCUACGGGAGGCAGCAGUGGGGAAUUUUGCGCAAUGGGCGAAAGCCUGACGCAGCAACGCCGCGUGUGUGAUGAAGGUCUUCGGAUUGUAAAGCACUUUCGACCGGGACGAAAACCCGUUGGCUAACAUCCAACGGCUUGACGGUACCGGGAGAAGAAGCACCGGCUAACUCUGUGCCAGCAGCCGCGGUAAUACAGAGGGUGCAAGCGUUGUUCGGAAUUAUUGGGCGUAAAGCGCGUGUAGGCGGCUUUGCAAGUCGGGUGUGAAAGCCCUCAGCUCAACUGAGGAAGUGCGCCCGAAACUGCAGAGCUUGAGUGCCGGAGAGGGUGGCGGAAUUCCCCAAGUAGAGGUGAAAUUCGUAGAUAUGGGGAGGAACACCGGUGGCGA
rnacentral:rRNA from 1 species